rnacentral:rRNA from 1 species
AGAGUUUGAUCAUGGCUCAGAAUCAACGCUGGCGGCGUGCCUAACACAUGCAAGUCGAACGCGAAAGUGGAGCAAUCCAUGAGUAGAGUGGCAAACGGGUGAGUAACGCGUGGGUGACCUGCCUUCGAGUGGGGGAUAACGUUCCGAAAGGGACGCUAAUACCGCAUAACAUCCUGUCUUUUAAGAGAUGGACAUCAAAGCUUGGGACCGCAAGGCCAGGCGCUUGAAGAGGGGCCCGCGUCUGAUUAGCUAGUUGGUGGGGUAAUGGCUCACCAAGGCUUCGAUCAGUAUCCGGCCUGAGAGGGCGGACGGACACACUGGGACUGAGACACGGCCCAGACUCCUACGGGAGGCAGCAGUGGGGAAUUGUUCGCAAUGGGCGCAAGCCUGACGACGCAACGCCGCGUGGAGGAUGAAGAUCUUCGGGUCGUAAACUCCUUUCGAUCGAGACGAAUGGCCCUUGGGUUAACAGCCUGAGGGAAUGACGGUACCGAGAGAAGAAGCCCCGGCUAACUCCGUGCCAGCAGCCGCGGUAAUACGGGGGGGGCAAGCGUUGUUCGGAAUUACUGGGCGUAAAGGGCUCGUAGGUGGCCAACUAAGUCAGACGUGAAAUCCCUCGGCUUAACCGGGGAACUGCGUCUGAUACUGGAUGGCUUGAGUUUGGGAGAGGGACGCGGAAUUCCAGGUGUAGCGGUGAAAUGCGUAGAUAUCUGGAGGAACACCGGUGGCGAAGGCGGCGUCCUGGACCAAUACUGACACUGAUGAGCGAAAGCCAGGGGAGCAAACGGGAUUAGAUACCCCGGUAGUCCUGGCCCUAAACGAUGAAUGCUUGGUGUGGCGGGUAUCGAUCCCUGCCGUGCCGAAGCUAACGCAUUAAGCAUUCCGCCU